CUCCUUCCGGUCUCCCUAACCGGCAUCUCCCUCUUCGCUGCCAUCUGGAAGCAGCGCCCUAGCGGUGGACCAGCGCAAUCGACUUUGCCGCCGGUCUCACCAUUGACGCCGCCGUCGACCGUCCUCUGCCUCGCCAUCGAUGACGCCGACGGCAGUCAUGACUCAAGAAGGAGGCCUCGCUCGGCCUGGAGUUCGCGACACCUCAGACUCUGUAGGUGCGUGUCCUCGACGGCUACUUUCUGCAGAGGUUUACCGGCCCGGAUUCCGCGAGAGGAGUUCUACUUGCGCAGUCUCAUCGGUGGCCAGCGCGGGAGAGGAGUAGAAGAGAAGCUCAUCAUCCGUGUACCGUGCAGGCAUUCUUCAAUCCAUAUUGGGGACGAGCUCAUCAUCCGGGAAUCCCUGAAGUGUCGUUCGCUUCACUAGCUGGUCGAGCUACUGCUUGGUUGUAAUUCAUCAAAUCGCUUCAGCAGUUCAUUGUGUGAUGAGAUUGUACUGUGCGCUGCAUCUGGCCUCUUUUGUUACCCCCUGUCCGUCGCCCUACUGACAAGCAACAAGGUGAGGCCAUUCUGUCGAUUUCCCUGUUUGACAGUAAGUCCUUUUGAUGUGAUUGUGCAUGCUUGUUCUUAUGGACAUUUGAAAAUGGUCUGUAUAUAUUGAUAACUGAUGAAAUUUCUGAUCUUCUAGUUCACUAAAUUAGAGUUGCACAUGGAAGUAUCAGUAUGCAUUGAGGGUUCCAGGCAGUGAGAUGCAUGAAUGGCAAAUAAGUCUUUUUGAAAGGUCCAGUAGUGUUUAUUUUCCAAAACCUGGGAUCCAAGUAAACCCCACACUCAAAUCCAUCUAUCCAUAUUUAUAGCAAGAACCGUUGACAAGUGCAAAUCUAGGGGCUCUUUUUCUGACCGCUUCAUAGUUAAUUCCAGGGAAAUUUUUGAUUAUAUUGCUUAUUUUGGGAAACAUGCAAUGUGUGAUAAAACUUUCACCUGCCAAGGUUAACUAAACGAACUGAUGAAUGAUCUGUGAUCAAUGGAAUGUAAUCGUACAUUUAACUGUUGUAGAACUGCUAUGAGGUCAUUCAGCGUUUAUUUCCAGAACACAUUCACUUCAUUUUCCACAAAGUGAUUUCUUAGGGACCUUAGCGUAUGAUGUGGUCUGUCAAUUCUGUACAGCCUUGUGUAUGUAGUUAGGUGGCCUUUUGUUGGUUUAAUUGUUCUAAGGCUUUCUUUUCUUAGUUUGGAUACACUAUAGUGUGACGAAUACUCUUCUAUAGUGUUAAAUUGCAAAUUAAAAAUACCAGGUUAUAAUAUGAUAAUGUGUGCCUCUACUUGAACAUUGCCUAAAUUACUCUGUCCACUUUCAUUGUUUAUCUCCAUGAGCCAAAAUCUAUUGCCUUGUUCAGUAUUGCCUCAUGUGUACCCUGUUACAUGCUAGCUCGGUUGCUGACAUCCUGGAUUUGACCCGUGGAGUUGUUUAGUCCACAAUGGCAUUCAAAUGUUGUUCGUAGUGUUUAGUCCCCAAAUGGAUAACUACUGUUCUAAUAUGCAAACAAUAAUAGUGUGCCAGAGAUGCUAUGUUCUAUUUAAUGAGCACUUCAUUAAAUAGAAGUUGAGAGGGUUCAAAACUCACCACCUUAUUAUAGAUUUUAUACACAGUAACUACUCUCUAUUAUCUGUUAUGUUUGAAUUUUGUAUGUAAAACCUACAAGCUGACUGUUUUAUGGCACUACAUUUAGUGAGGAACUAACAUGUGUGUUCACUCUAUCUGCAAUCAUGCGAUUGGUGAACCUUGGUUCAUUAUCUGAAUAUGCUAACCUUUAAUGAUGCUGUUGUAACUUGUUGUUUAAAGACUUAUUUUUAUAUCAUCACUAAAAUUCUGAGAUAGCUAGUUUUUUGAGAGACAUCGUUGCAUUUUCUGACCUGUUUUAGUUCUGACCACUUAAUCUCUGCAGAAUUUGACCGUGUGGUGUGUCUGCAUUGUUUUAGGCGCCUCAUGGCAUUGGCUAUUGUUUGGAAUGAGUUCUGUGACAUCAGCAACAAGGUAGCUUGAGUUUUUUGGAGGGUUGCAUUUACAUUGUAUUGUCAACCAUUUUACUUCCCUAUAUUUCACGUGAAGUUUAUGAUCAGGAGCUAAUGUGUUGAGUUUGCUGCUGCGACGACAGAGUAUCAGAAGAAACUUUAUGUGCACCACUUUUUUACUUGUUAUAGCCAGCUUGUUAUGGUGCUUCUGUAUCUGAUCUUGAGUGUAUGUAGACUUGUUGGAUCUAAAUUGUAAUUAGACCUUUUCUACUCUAUUACUGUGUACACGUGUAACUGAUGUUGUGUAUAUUU